rnacentral:rRNA from 1 species
GUUCAGAUCGCAGUCUGCAACCCGACUGCGUGAAGUCGGAAUCGCUAGUAAUCGCGGAUCAGCAUGCCGCGGUGAAUACGUUCCCGGGCCUUGUACACACCGCCCGUCACACCAUGAGAGUCGGGAACACCCGAAGUCCGUAGCCUAACCGCAAGGAGGGCGCGGCCGAAGGUGGGUUCGAUAAUUGGGGUGAAGUCGUAACAAGGUAUC